GUCGAACGAUGAAGCCCUUCGGGGUGGAUUAGUGGCGAACGGGUGAGUAACACGUGGGCAAUCUGCCCUUCACUCUGGGACAAGCCCUGGAAACGGGGUCUAAUACCGGAUAACACCGGCCUCCGCAUGGAGGCUGGUUAAAAGCUCCGGCGGUGAAGGAUGAGCCCGCGGCCUAUCAGCUUGUUGGUGGGGUAAUGGCCCACCAAGGCGACGACGGGUAGCCGGCCUGAGAGGGCGACCGGCCACACUGGGACUGAGACACGGCCCAGACUCCUACGGGAGGCAGCAGUGGGGAAUAUUGCACAAUGGGCGAAAGCCUGAUGCAGCGACGCCGCGUGAGGGAUGACGGCCUUCGGGUUGUAAACCUCUUUCAGCAGGGAAGAAGCGAAAGUGACGGUACCUGCAGAAGAAGCGCCGGCUAACUACGUGCCAGCAGCCGCGGUAAUACGUAGGGCGCAAGCGUUGUCCGGAAUUAUUGGGCGUAAAGAGCUCGUAGGCGGCUUGUCACGUCGGGUGUGAAAGCCCGGGGCUUAACCCCGGGUCUGCAUCCGAUACGGGCAGGCUAGAGUGUGGUAGGGGAGAUCGGAAUUCCUGGUGUAGCGGUGAAAUGCGCAGAUAUCAGGAGGAACACCGGUGGCGAAGGCGGAUCUCUGGGCCAUUACUGACGCUGAGGAGCGAAAGCGUGGGGAGCGAACAGGAUUAGAUACCCUGGUAGUCCACGCCGUAAACGUUGGGAACUAGGUGUUGGCGACAUUCCACGUCGUCGGUGCCGCAGCUAACGCAUUAAGUUCCCCGCCUGGGGAGUACGGCCGCAAGGCUAAAACUCAAAGGAAUUGACGGGGGGCCCGCACAAGCAGCGGAGCAUGUGGCUUAAUUCGACGCAACGCGAAGAACCUUACCAAGGCUUGACAUAUACCCGGAAAGCAUUAAAAGAUAGUGCCCCCCUUGUGGUCGGUAUACAGGGUGGUGCAUGGGCUGUCGUCAGCUCCGGUCGUGGAAAUGUUGGGGUUAAGUCCCGCAACGGCGCAACCCUUGUCCUGGGUUGCCAGCAUGCCCUUUCGGGGUGAUGGGGACUCCCAAGGAGAACCGCCG
rnacentral:rRNA from 1 species